rnacentral:rRNA from 1 species
UAAAUAGAUCCCGGGUAGUCCACGCCGUAAACGAUGAGUGCUAAGUGUUAGAGGGUUUCCGCCCUUUAGUGCUGAAGUUAACGCAUUAAGCACUCCGCCUGGGGAGUACGGCCGCAAGGCUGAAACUCAAAGGAAUUGACGGGGGCCCGCACAAGCGGUGGAGCAUGUGGUUUAAUUCGAAGCAACGCGAAGAACCUUACCAGGUCUUGACAUCCUCUGACAACCCUAGAGAUAGGGCUUCUCCUUCGGGAGCAGAGUGACAGGUGGUGCAUGGUUGUCGUCAGCUCGUGUCGUGAGAUGUUGGGUUAAGUCCCGCAACGAGCGCAACCCUUGAUCUUAGUUGCCAUCAUUCAGUUGGGCACUCUAAGGUGACUGCCGGUGACAAACCGGAGGAAGGUGGGGAUGACGUCAAAUCAUCAUGCCCCUUAUGACCUGGGCUACACACGUGCUACAAUGGAUGGUACAAAGAGCUGCAAGACCGCGAGGUGGAGCUAAUCUCAUAAAACCGUUUCAGUUCGGA